rnacentral:rRNA from 1 species
AACGAACGCUGGCGGCAUGCCUAACACAUGCAAGUCGAACGAAGCCUUCGGGCUUAGUGGCGCACGGGUGCGUAACGCGUGGGGAUCUGCCCUUUGCUUCGGAAUAACAGUUAGAAAUGACUGCUAAUACCGGAUGAUGUCGUAAGACCAAAGAUUUAUCGGCAAAGGAUGAACCCGCGUAGGAUUAGCCAGUUGGUGGGGUAAAGGCCUACCAAGGCGACGAUCCUUAGCUGGUCUGAGAGGAUGAUCAGCCACACUGGGACUGAGACACGGCCCAGACUCCUACGGGAGGCAGCAGUGGGGAAUAUUGGACAAUGGGCGAAAGCCUGAUCCAGCAAUGCCGCGUGAGUGAUGAAGGCCUUAGGGUUGUAAAGCUCUUUUACCCGGGAUGAUAAUGACAGUACCGGGAGAAUAAGCCCCGGCUAACUCCGUGCCAGCCGCCGCCGUAA